rnacentral:rRNA from 1 species
CCUACGGGCGGCAGCAGUGAGGAAUAUUGGUCAAUGGGCUUACGCCUGAACCAGCCAAGUCGCGUGAGGGAAGACUGCCCUAUGGGUUGUAAACCUCUUUUGUCAGGGAGCAAUUGGCGCUACGUGUAGCGUUAUCGAGAGUACCUGAAGAAAAAGCAUCGGCUACCUCCGUACCAGAAGCCGCGGUAAUACGGAGGGUGCGAGCGUUAGCGGGAUUUAUUGGGUUUAAAGGGUGCGUAUGGGGAAUGCCAAGUCAGCGGUAAAAUGGUGGGGCUAAACCGCGGUCCGCCGUUGAAACUGGCGGUCGUGAGUGGGCGAGAAGUAUGCGGAAUUCGUGGUGUAGCGGUGAAAUGCAUAGAUAUCACGCAGAACUCCGAUUGCGAAGGCAGCAUACCGGCGCCCAACUGACGCUGAAGCACGAAAGCGUGGGUAUCGAACAGGAUUAGAUACCCCAGUAGUC